rnacentral:lncRNA from 1 species
GCCCGUCACUCCGCCAGGUACUUACGUUAUCCAGAUCCCCAAGGAUCAGGUCUACCGCGUCCCUCCGCCGGAAAAUGCUCGUCGUUACCAGCAGCUCACUGGCCGGAAGGCUCGCCGGAGCCGUUGUUGCUGUUGCCUCUGUACUUUCCUCGCUAUCAUCCUUGUCCUGAUCGUCCUCGCCGGAAUCGCAGCCGGCGUACUCUACCUCGUUUUCCGACCAGAGGCACCCGACUACUCCGUCGAAAGCCUCUCCAUCAAGGGAUUCAACCUGACGGCACUGUCCCCAAUCUCGCCGGAAUUUGACGUCACUGUGAGAGCCCGGAAUCCUAACGACAAAAUCGGUAUAUUCUACGAGAAAGGUAGCUCUGUCGACGUUUUCCACCACGACGUGAGGCUUGGAACCGGCGCACUGCCGGUGUUUU